CUCCAGACCUCACAUCUGAGUUCCAGGCAGGAAGACGGACGGGGAAAGGACAAGGUGACAAAUGGAUUUCUUCUGGCAUGUUGCUUCUCUGCAUGGAGCAGAGCUGUGUUCAUCCAGAAAGAAUGUGGCUAUUGGGGGACAACAGCUGUGUCUACCAGUGCACAGCCGUGUGCUCUGCCUUCCAGCACCUGAGGCCUCUAGCCCUGUCACGGGCCCCAGACCCACAAGGCCGGGUUGUUUUGUGCAGGAUGACAGUGCCAGCUACACAAAAAUUCAACAGCCUCUGGGACACAUUGACCAUGGUCUCCCAGUGGCCAGUUCUCAUAGACCUGGAAUCACACCGCUGGCCCGUGGAAACUUACCAGACUCUGUCCCACCCCAGCAAAUCAAUAAAAGC